rnacentral:rRNA from 1 species
ACUCCUACGGGAGGCAGCAGUGGGGAAUAUUGCACAAUGGGCGCAAGCCUGAUGCAGCCAUGCCGCGUGUAUGAAGAAGGCCUUCGGGUUGUAAAGUACUUUCAGCGGGGAGGAAGGCGAUAAGGUUAAUAACCUUGUCGAUUGACGUUACCCGCAGAAGAAGCACCGGCUAACUCCGUGCCAGCAGCCGCGGUAAUACGGAGGGUGCAAGCGUUAAUCGGAAUUACUGGGCGUAAAGCGCACGCAGGCGGUCUGUCAAGUCGGAUGUGAAAUCCCCGGGCUCAACCUGGGAACUGCAUUCGAAACUGGCAGGCUAGAGUCUUGUAGAGGGGGGUAGAAUUCCAGGUGUAGCGGUGAAAUGCGUAGAGAUCUGGAGGAAUACCGGUGGCGAAGGCGGCCCCCUGGACAAAGACUGACGCUCAGGUGCGAAAGCGUGGGGAGCAAACAGGAUUAGAAACCCCUGUAGUCCCAUGA